rnacentral:miRNA from 1 species
CAUAUAUUGCAUUGUCGCAAAAGUAAUUGUGAUUUUUGCCGUUACUUUCAGUGGCAAAAAGAGCAAUUACUUUUGCACCAACCUCAUA